UACGUAGGGGGCUAGCGUUGUCCGGAAUCAUUGGGCGUAAAGAGCGUGUAGGCGGCCCGGUAAGUCCGCUGUGAAAGUCGGGGGCUCAACCCUCGGAUGCCGGUGGAUACUGUCGGGCUCGAGUACGAAAGAGGCGAGUGGAAUUCCUGGUGUAGCGGUGAAAUGCGCAGAUAUCAGGAGGAACACCUAUUGCGAAGGCAGCUCGCUGGGACGUUACUGACGCUGAGACGCGAAAGCGUGGGGAGCAAACAGG
rnacentral:rRNA from 1 species